CUUUAGCAUAACCAGUAUUAAAGGUCCCGCCUGCCCAGUGAUUUAUUUAAACGGCCGCGGUAUUCUAACCGUGCAAAGGUAGCGUAAUCACUUGUCUUCUAAAUAAAGACCAGUAUGAACGGCUAAAUGAGGACAAACCUGUCUCUUGCAACUAAUCAGUGAAACUGAUCUUCCGGUCCAAAAGCCGGAAUACCCCCAUAAGACGAGAAGACCCUGUGGAGCUUCAAACAAACUACUAUGUAGUUUACCAAAGCCGCAGCCAGUAGCAAACGUUUUGAGUUGGGGCGACUUCGGAAACAAAAAAAACUUCCGAGCACAGAACCACCAGUUCUUACCAAGACCAACAAGUCAAAGCUUUAAAGCACGACCCAGUAACACUGACCAACGAACCAAGUUACCCCAGGGAUAACAGCGCCAUCUUCUUCAAGAGUCCAUAUCGACAAGAAGGUUUACGACCUCGAUGUUGGAUCAGGACACCCCAAUGGUGCAGCCGCUAUUAAAGGUUCGUUUGUUCAACGAUUAACAGUCCUACGUGAUCUGAGUUCAGACCGGAGCAAUCCAGGUCGGUUUCU
rnacentral:rRNA from 1 species